rnacentral:lncRNA from 1 species
UGGAGCCGUCUUUUCUAGCUAUCCACCAUGGCGGGUGGGUUAAAGACCCGAGCUAACAUGGGGUUAACUCGUUAAAUUACAAUAAAGCCUCGUGCAGUUUGCAGCAAGCUCUCGAAUCCGCCUGGUGAUUGGGGUGACCGUGAACGUGGCCUGGGACCCCGGAAACUUGAGUUUUCGGGGGUCUAACAGUAAGACCUGGGUAUUGAACUUUUACCCACUGAGCUGUGUCCACAGCCCUGGUUUGUUUUUUUGUUUGUUUUUUGUUUUUUGUUGUUGUUUGGUUGGUUUUGGUUUUGUUUGUUUCUAAUAGACAGAAGUAAACAAGGUAGACAUAGGUGAAGAGGGUAGGAGAGACAGGGUGCUUUGUCCCUAGCCACCCCAGUGUUACCAAGGACCAGGAGCUCCAGGGCUAAAAAGGCCAGAUGUGGUGGCAUGGACUUGUAAUUCCAACACUCUAAAAAGCAGAGGCAGGAGGCUUGCUGCAACUUCAUGACUAGCCUGAUCUACCCAGAGAGUUCCAGACCAGCCAAGGCUACUUAGUACAGGAAGGAUGCCUCCCAUGUGACAGCUGUGCCUCAAGGGAAGGUCCAUGUACUUGAUACACCUCCAGUUUCUUUACUUUCAAAUACUUCUUAAACAGAGGGUCUCACUAAGUUGCCCAGGCUGACCUUGAACUCCCUCUGUAGCCAGGAUGUGGACCUCCUGGCUCAGUUUCCCCAAAAUCAAGAAUGACAGACCUGGUCUGUCAGUAGCUCUCAGCUACUGCUCCAGCCCCAUGCCUCCCUGUACGUGGCCAUGCUCCCCGCCAUGACAAUAAUGGACUAACUCUCUGAAACUCUGUGAGUCUGCAGUCAUUGAUACCAUGGCAAAGUGCUUCCUUGCCCUCUACAGUCAGUGGGAGCAUGGAGCAUGGGCUUACACAUGGUUUCUGGAGAUAGCAUGGACCACAGACAUCCACAUGGUCUCCGGCAUCAUCAUGUCUCUGGUAGCAGUACAGGCUACAAACAUCAACAUGGCUCUCUGCCGCUGUGUGCAAGAGGAUUAUUCCACAGCAGUCCUAUUAUGUCUCUCUCUGUCUGCCUUAUUCUUUUGAGACAGGUCUGUCACUGAACCUGGAGCUAGGCUGGCAGCCAUCUUCCUGUUUCCAUCCCCACAGUACUUGGGUUAUAGGUGCGUCCGUGUGCAGCCAUGCCUGUACAUAAGAGUGC